GGCCUACGGGGCGCAGCAGUGGGGAAUAUUGCACAAUGGGCGAAAGCCUGAUGCAGCAACGCCGCGUGAAGGAAGAAGGGUUUCGGCUCGUAAACUUCUAUUAACAGGGACGAAAGAAAUGACGGUACCUGAAUAAGAAGCACCGGCUAAAUACGUGCCAGCAGCCGCGGUAAUACGUAUGGUGCAAGCGUUAUCCGGAUUUACUGGGUGUAAAGGGUGCGUAGACGGGAAGGCAAGUUAGUUGUGAAAUCCCUCGGCUUAACUGAGGAACUGCAACUAAAACUAUCUUUCUUGAGUGCUGGAGG
rnacentral:rRNA from 1 species